GACGAACGCUGGCGGCGUGCUUAACACAUGCAAGUCGAACGGAAAGGCCCUGCUUGCAGGGUACUCGAGUGGCGAACGGGUGAGUAACACGUGGGUGAUCUGCCCUGCACUUCGGGAUAAGCCUGGGAAACUGGGUCUAAUACCGGAUAGGAGCCAUUUUUAGUAUGAUGGUUGGAAAGUUUUUUCGGUGUAGGAUGAGCUCGCGGCCUAUCAGCUUGUUGGUGGGGUAAUGGCCUACCAAGGCGGCGACGGGUAGCCGGCCUGAGAGGGUGGACGGCCACAUUGGGACUGAGAUACGGCCCAGACUCCUACGGGAGGCAGCAGUGGGGAAUAUUGCACAAUGGGCGCAAGCCUGAUGCAGCGACGCCGCGUGGGGGAUGACGGCCUUCGGGUUGUAAACUCCUUUCGCUAGGGACGAAGCUUUUUGUGACGGUACCUAGAUAAGAAGCACCGGCUAACUACGUG
rnacentral:rRNA from 1 species